rnacentral:rRNA from 1 species
GAUGAACGCUGGCGGCGUGCCUAAUACAUGCAAGUCGAGCGAACAGAUGAGGAGCUUGCUCCUCUGACGUUAGCGGCGGACGGGUGAGUAACACGUGGAUAACCUACCUAUAAGACUGGGAUAACUUCGGGAAACCGGAGCUAAUACCGGAUAAUAUAUUGAACCGCAUGGUUCAAUAGUGAAAGACGGUUUUGCUGUCACUUAUAGAUGGAUCCGCGCCGCAUUAGCUAGUUGGUAAGGUAACGGCUUACCAAGGCAACGAUGCGUAGCCGACCUGAGAGGGUGAUCGGCCACACUGGAACGGAGACACGGUACAGACUCCUACGGGAGGCAGCAGUAGGGAAUCUUCCGCAAUGGGCGAAAGCCUGACGGAGCAACGCCGCGUGAGUGAUGAAGGUCUUCGGAUCGUAAAACUCUGUUAUUAGGGAAGAACAAAUGUGUAAGUAACUAUGCACGUCUUGACGGUACCUAAUCAGAAAGCCACGGCUAACUACGUG